UACAUACUUGCUUUCACCUAAAAAAUGCCGUGUGUAUUUCCCAUUCUUGCGUAACAAGAAUGACAUAAUGCUACUGGAGAAGGCUUAGGGGAUGGGCUAAGGGAACGAAUGAGGGAAUGGAGGACUGGAAAAUGGGAAAUGUUGGAAGUCUUCAGUCCAGAGAGGCAGAGGAUGGGAAGGGAAGGGAAAGAUCCAGAAACCUGAAACAAAUGGGAGAUAAAGAAGCAACGUCAAAGAAGAUUUGACAAACCCUUAGAGAACAUGGGAGCUCCCCAUUUCACAGAUGAAGAAACCAAGGUCCAGACUGAGAGAGCAAGUUAAGCCAAGCUGGAAAUUACACAUGGAAGCUGAGUCACCUCCGUCUCUCCCAGAGUCUGAGUUGGCUGUUACCAAGACCUUCCUCAUUAUUCAAACUCAUCCCACGAAUACCAAAAGCAACACUUGGUUGUGGAAGAUCUCCAGCUUCACAAGUCAUGAAAUGCACCUGCGCUGGGUACUUCUUGCUUACCACCUCACUAAGGAUUUACAACUCCUGACAUGUUGUAUUUCUGGUGACUAUAUUCUGAAUGAAAGCUUCUUGCCCAAGGCAAGGACAACUUCUUUACUCACCUUAACAUGAUCUCAGGUAAAGGAAAAGAAUUUUUAAAAAUCCCACUUUUAGAAUAUUAGGAAUGAAAAUCUUA